AUACCCCGAAAAUGAUGGUUUAAUCCCUUCC
rnacentral:tRNA from 1 species